rnacentral:rRNA from 1 species
CCUACGGUAGGCUGCAGUGGGGAAUAUUGCACAAUGGGGGAAACCCUGAUGCAGCGACGCCGCGUGAGUGAAGAAGUAUCUCGGUAUGUAAAGCUCUAUCAGCAGGGAAGAAAAUGACGGUACCUGACUAAGAAUCCCCGGCUAACUCCGUGCCAGCAGCCGCGGUCAUACGUAGGGGGCAAGCGCUAUCCGGAUUUACUGGGUGUAAAGGGAGCGUAGACGGCGCUGCAAGUCCGGAGUGAAAGCCCAGGGCUUAACCAUGGUACUGCUCUGGAAACUGUGGGGCUGGAGUGCGGGAGGGGCAGGCGGAAUUCCUAGUGUAGCGGUGAAAUGCGUAGAUAUUAGGAGGAACACCGGCGGCGAAGGCGGCCUGCUGGACCGUAACUGACGUUGAGGCUCGAAAGCGUGGGGAGCAAACAGGAUUAGAUACCCGAGUAGUC